GGCUGAGUGGCGCAACGGUAGCGCGUCUGAUUCCAGCAUGUGUGUCGUUACUGUCCACAGUGGAGUCUCCAGAAGGUUAUCCGUUCGAAUCGGGUCUCGGUCA
rnacentral:tRNA from 1 species